AGGAUUAGGGAGCAAUUUGAAAGAUCAAAGAAAAGCUGGAGGGUUAAUUUAGAAUUUACAAAGGGGUAAUAGCUGACGACUAAAGGAUUAAGGGAUUAAGGGAGUAUAUGGCUCAAAAAAGAAAGAAAGAAGAAAGGAAAGAAGAAGAAGAAGACGAGGAAGGAGAAGGAGGUAGGACUGCCAUCAAUAGCGGAUGGUGAAGGAGACUCACCUGAGGGUAGUGGCGAUGAUCGGAGAUGCAGCUGUCAAUGGCGAGCACGCUAGUGGCAAUGGCAGCAGUUGGGGACAAUGACAGACGGUAGGGAAAAAAAAGAAGGCAUCAGCCUUUUAGACGUCGUUCAUGGCGUUUUCGAUGAUGGUAGCCACUAUUUUUGGUGGCAAACGACUCCCCUCGACUUGAGCUUCAAAUCGGCACUGGUAGUGCCGAAAUUGGUGGCUCGACUUAAGAGUUAUAGUGGAGAGAGAAAAUUGAGCUGUUUCGAUUUUUCAAAAUUUUCAGCUAAUGUCGUUAAGAUUCAGGUGAUCAGAAGACACAUUCAGGCUCUCCUCAUCACGAGCUUUCCGAUGACACCAAGUUCGUGGCAAUCGGACUCCGUUGGAAAAUCAACAGUUGGGAAUUGUCGAUGAGAUUUCGGGAUGAUUGGAGGCGGAAAAUCAUACGUUGGACUAGUUCGCUACGAAUUAUUUCGAGUUUGUAGACACACCCGGGUAUAUACUAGGUGGUGUAUUAUAGCCUGGCCUAGAGAAGCGGUCUGAUGAGGGCAGAAAGUGGAUGCCGGGCAAGGAUAGGGUGCUUGGACAAGAAGUGACUUCUGGCAGACUUCUAGGAUGAUAGCACUCUAAGGUAUGAUGGUACAUGAAUGAAUCGAAUUGCACAUCAAAAUGAGAUGGGGAAUGGUUAAUAGCAUAUAUAUAAAGAGUUGGAACUAAUCACAUGAAGCGCCUUUUGGUUGUUUAGUUGUGGAGUUGCAGGAACUCCAAAGUGAAUUAUGCUUGAUUUGAAAAAAUUUCAGAAUGGCUGACCUCCUCGGAAGUCCUGAAAUCCGCUAAGGGGAAAAAGACUGUGAGGCCAGUAGAGCCAAAACGAAUAAUAUCUCAUGUGAUAUGGUUCCGGGUUGUUGCAUGGUGCCUUUCGAGACAUUGUCUACACGCGUAUGACUAGAAUUUGCACUUUGGGUACAUUUAUGAGUGUAUAUUAUUUUUGACUGAAUUAUUUAUUACUGUUUUUCUUUAGUAUGCUAUUAGAAAUUAAAUUAGUAGCGGAAUUUUUUUUGGAUGGAA